UACGAAGGGGGCUAGCGUUGUUCGGAUUUACUGGGCGUAAAGCGCACGUAGGCGGAUCGUUAAGUCGGGGGUGAAAUCCUGGAGCUCAACUCCAGAACUGCCUUCGAUACUGGCGAUCUUGAGUCCGGAAGAGGUGAGUGGAACUCCUAGUGUGGAGGUGGAAUUCGUAGAUAUUAGGAAGAACACCAGUGGCGAAGGCGGCUCACUGGUCCGGUACUGACGCUGAGGUGCGAAAGCGUGGGGAGCGAACAGG
rnacentral:rRNA from 1 species